rnacentral:precursor_RNA from 9 species
UUGCACCACUGCAAUUGACGGUGAUGGGACCAGUCAGUGGAUGAUUGUUAUGAUGGCGAUGUUAUUUUAUCAGCAGUUGUACCACUGAUUGGGCUCCAUUUCUUAAAACUUCAAUCUGAUAUA